rnacentral:rRNA from 1 species
AACGAACGCUGGCGGCAUGCCUAACACAUGCAAGUCGAACGAGACCUUCGGGUCUAGUGGCGCACGGGUGCGUAACGCGUGGGAACCUGCCCUUAGGUUCGGAAUAACUCCCCGAAAGGGGUGCUAAUACCGGAUAAUGUCUUCUGACCAAAGAUUUAUCGCCUUUGGAUGGGCCCGCGUUGGAUUAGCUAGUUGUUUGGGUAAGAGCCUACCAAGGCGACGAUCCAUAGCUGGUCUGAGAGGAUGAUCAGCCACACUGGGACUGAGAAACGGCCCAGACUCCUACGGGAGGCAGCAGUGGGGAAUAUUGCACAAUGGGCGAAGGGCUGAUCCAGCAAUGCCGCGUGAGUGAUGAAGGCCUUAGGGUUGUAAAGCUCUUUUACCCGGGAUGAUAAUGACAGUACCGGGAGAAUAAGCUCCGGCUAACUCCGUG